GAGGAAUAUUGCACAAUGGGCGCAAGCCUGAUGCAGCAACGCCGCGUGAGGGACGAAGGCCUUCGGGUCGUAAACCUCUUUUCUGGGGGACGAGUAAGGACGGUACCCCAGGAAUAAGUCUCGGCUAACUACGUGCCAGCAGCCGCGGUAAAACGUAGGAGGCGAGCGUUAUCCGGAUUUACUGGGCGUAAAGCGUACGCAGGUGGCUUCGUGAGUCGGACAUGAAAGCUCCUGGCUUAACUGGGAGAGGUUGUUCGAUACUGCGGGGCUUGAGGUUGGGAGAGGGACGUGGAAUUCCCGGUGUAGUGGUGGAAUGCGUAGAUAUCGGGAGGAACACCAGUGGCGCAAGCGGCGUCCUGGCCCACACCUGACGCUGAGGUACGAAAGCGUGGGUAGCAAAC
rnacentral:rRNA from 1 species